rnacentral:rRNA from 1 species
UCGAGAAUCUUUGUCAAUGGACGAAAGUCUGAACAAGCGACGCCGCGUGCGGGAUGAAGGCCUUCGGGUUGUAAACCGCUGUCGUAGGGGAACAAAUCUAUAGGGGUUCUCUCUUAUAGUUGAGUGAUCCUAGGAGGAAGGACGGGCUAAGUUCGUGCCAGCAGCCGCGGUAAGACGAACCGUCCAAACGUUAUUCGGUAUCACUGGGCUUAAAGAGUUCGUAGGCGGCCAAGUAGGUCAGGUGUGAAAUCCCACAGCUCAACUGUGGAACUGCGCUUGAAACCACUUGGCUUGAGGGAGAUAGAGGUGAGCGGAACAGAUGGUGGAGCGGUGAAAUGCGUUGAUAUCAUCUGGAACACCGGUGGCGAAAGCGGCUCACUGGAUCUUUUCUGACGCUGAGGAACGAAAGCUAUGGUAGCGAACGGGAUUAGAUACCCCCGUAGUCC